CGGGGUGCACCAGGCGCGAAAACUUUACAAUGCGGGAAACCGUGAUAAGGGAACUCCGAGUGCCCGUAAAAUCGGGCUGUCCAUCUGUUUAAAUAACAGGUGAAGAAAGGGCCGGGCAAGACCGGUGCCAGCCGCCGCGGUAAUACCGGCGGCUCGAGUGGUGGCCACUAUUACUGGGCUUAAAGCGUUCGUAGCUGGUCUGUUAAGUCUCUGGGGAAAUCUACUGGCUUAACCAAUAGGCGUUUCAGGGAUACUGGCAGACUAGGGACCGGGAGAGGUGAGGGGUACUCCAGGGGUAGGAGUGAAAUCCUGUAAUCCUUGGGGGACCACCUGUGGCGAAGGCGCCUCACCAGAACGGCUCCGACAGUGAGGGACGAAAGCUGGGGGAGCAAACCGGAUUAGAUACCCGGGUAGUCCCAGCCGUAAACGAUGCGCGUUAGGUGUAUCGGUGACCACGAGUCACCGAGGUGCCGAAGAGAAAUCGUGAAACGUGCCGCCUGGGAAGUACGGUCGCAAGGCUGAAACUUAAAGGAAUUGGCGGGGGAGCACAAGGGCGAUUCGC
rnacentral:rRNA from 1 species